rnacentral:rRNA from 1 species
AGUGAACGCUGGCGGUAGGCCUAACACAUGCAAGUCGAACGGCAGCACAGUAAGAGCUUGCUCUUACGGGUGGCGAGUGGCGGACGGGUGAGGAAUACAUCGGAAUCUACUUUUUCGUGGGGGAUAACGUAGGGAAACUUACGCUAAUACCGCAUACGACCUACGGGUGAAAGCAGGGGAUCUUCGGACCUUGCGCGAUUGAAUGAGCCGAUGUCGGAUUAGCUAGUUGGCGGGGUAAAGGCCCACCAAGGCGACGAUCCGUAGCUGGUCUGAGAGGAUGACACUCCACCUGGGACUGCGCGACGGGCCCCGCUUCGUAGGGGGGGGUGAGGUGGAGAAUAUUGGACCUGUGGCGAAGGCCCGCUCCAGCCAGUCGGCGUGGGGGAGGAGGCCCUUCGUUUUGUAAAGCCUUUUUGUGGGAAAAGAAAAGCAGCAGUUUAUUCCCCCGGUGUUCAGACAGUCCCCAAAGAAAAACCACCGGCUAACUUCGUGCCAGCAGCGGAGGUAAUAAUGGAAGAGCACACGUCUGACC